rnacentral:rRNA from 1 species
UCACUUAUAGAUGGACCCGCGCCGUAUUAGCUAGUUGGUAAGGUAWCGGCUUACCAAGGCGACGAUACGUAGCCGACCUGAGAGGGUGAUCGGCCACACUGGAACUGAGACACGGUCCAGACUCCUACGGGAGGCAGCAGUAGGGAAUCUUCCGCAAUGGGCGAAAGCCUGACGGAGCAACGCCGCGUGAGUGAUGAAGGUCUUCGGAUCGUAAAACUCUGUUAUUAGGGAAGAACAUACGUGUAAGUAACUAUGCACGUCUUGACGGUACYUAAUCAGAAAGCCACGGCUAACUACGUGCCAGCAGCCGCGGUAAUACGUAGGUGGCAAGCGUUAUCCGGAAUUAUUGGGCGUAAAGCGCGCGUAGGCGGUUUUUUAAGUCUGAUGUGAAAGCCCACGGCUCAACCGUGGAGGGUCAUUGGAAACUGGAAAACUUGAGUGCAGAAGAGGAAAGUGGAAUUCCAUGUGUAGCGGUGAAAUGCGCAGAGAUAUGGAGGAACACCAGUGGCGAAGGCGACUUUCUGGUCUGUAACUGACGCUGAUGUGCGAAAGCGUGGGGAUCAAACAGGAUUAGAUACCCUGGUAGUCCACGCCGUAAACGAUGAGUGCUAAGUGUUAGGGGGUUUCCGCCCCUUAGUGCUGCAGCUAACG